rnacentral:rRNA from 1 species
GAUGAACGCUAGCUACAGGCUUAACACAUGCAAGUUGAGGGGAAACGACAUCGAAAGCUUGCUUUUGAUGGGCGUCGACCGGCGCACGGGUGAGUAACGCGUAUCCAACCUGCCCACCACUUGGGGAUAACCUUGCGAAAGUAAGACUAAUACCCAAUGAUAUCUCUAGAAGACAUCUGACAGGGAUUAAAGAUUUAUCGGUGAUGGACGGGGAUGCGUCUGAUUAGCUUGUUGGCGGGGUAACGGCCCACCAAGGCGACGAUCAGUAGGGGUUCUGAGAGGAAGGUCCCCCACAUUGGAACUGAGACACGGUCCAAACUCCUACGGGAGGCAGCAGUGAGGAAUAUUGGUCAAUGGGCGAGAGCCUGAACCAGCCAAGUAGCGUGCAGGAUGACGGCCCUAUGGGUUGUAAACUGCUUUUAUAAGGGAAUAAAGUGGGAGUCGUGACUCUUUUUGCAUGUACCUUAUGAAUAAGGACCGGCUAAUUCCGUGCCAGCCGCCGCCGUAA